rnacentral:rRNA from 1 species
GAUUUUAGCAUGGAAUAAUAGAAUAGGACGUGCGGUUCUAUUUUGUUGGUUUCUAGGACCGCCGUAAUGAUUAAUAGGGAUAGUCGGGGGCAUCCGUAUUCAAUUGUCAGAGGUGAAAUUCUUGGAUUUAUUGAAGACGAACUACUGCGAAAGCAUUUGCCAAGGAUGUUUUCAUUAAUCAGGAACGAAAGUUGAGGGAUCGAAGACGAUCAGAUACCGUCGUAGUCUCAACCAUAAACUAUGCCGACUAGGGAUCGGGCGAUGUUUUAUAUUGACUCGCUCGGCACCUUACGAGAAAUCAAAGUCUGUGGGUUCUGGGGGGAGUAUGGUCGCAAGGCUGAAACUUAAAGGAAUUGACGGAAGGGCACCACCAGGAGUGGAGCCUGCGGCUUAAUUUGACUCAACACGGGGAAACUCACCAGGUCCAGACACAUUAAGGAUUGACAGAUUGAGAGCUCUUUCUUGAUCAUGUGGGUGGUGGUGCAUGGCCGUUCUUAGUUGGUGGAGUGAUUUGUCUGCUUAAUUGCGAUAACGAACGAGACCUUAACCUGCUAAAUAGCCAGGCCCGCUUUGGCGGGUCGCCGGCUUCUUAGAGGGACUAUCGGAUUUCAAGUCGAUGGAAGUUUGAGGCAAUAACAGGUCUGUGAUGCCCUUAGAUGUUCUGGGCCGCACGCGCGCUACACUGACAGAGCCAACGAGUACAUUUCCUUGGCCGGAAGGUCUGGGUAAUCUUGUUAAACUCUGUCGUGCUGGGGAUAGAGCAUUGCAAU